rnacentral:rRNA from 1 species
AGCGAACGCUGGCGGUAGGCCUAACACAUGCAAGUCGAACGGCAGCACAGUAAGAGUUUGCUCUUAUGGGUGGCGAGUGGCGGAAGGGAGAGGAAUAUAACGGAAUCUACACUUUCGUGGGGGAUAACGUAGGGAAACCUAAGAUAAUAUAGCAUACGACGUACGGGUGAAAGCAGGGGAAAGUUGGACCUUGUGCGAUUGAACGAGCGGAUGACGGAUUAGCUAGUUGGCGGGGUGAAGGCCCACCAAGGCGACGAUCCGUAGCUGGUCUGAGAGGAUGAUCAGCCACACUGGAACUGAGACACGGUCCAGACUCCUACGGGAGGCAGCAGUGGGGAAUAUUGGACAAUGGGCGCAAGCCUGAUCCAGCCAUACCGCGUGGGUGAAGAAGGCCUUCGGGUUGUAAAGCCCUUUUGUUGGGAAAGAAAAGCAGCAGGUUAAUACCCCGCUGUUCUGACGGUACCCAAAGAAUAAGCACCGGCUAACUUCGUG